rnacentral:rRNA from 1 species
UACGAAGGGGGCUAGCGUUGCUCGGAAUCACUGGGCGUAAAGGGUGCGUAGGCGGGUCUUAAGUCAGGGGUGAAAUCCUGGAGCUCAACUCCAGAACUGCCUUUGAUACUGAGGAUCUUGAGUUCGGGAGAGGUGAGUGGAACUGCGAGUGUAGAGGUGAAAUUCGUAGAUAUUCGCAAGAACACCAGUGGCGAAGGCGGCUCACUGGCCCGAUACUGACGCUGAGGCACGAAAGCGUGGGAGCAACAGG